rnacentral:rRNA from 1 species
UACGAAGGGGGCUAGCGUUGUUCGGAAUCACUGGGCGUAAAGAGCGCGCAGGCGGUCGAUCAAGUCGAGUGUGAAAGCCCCCGGCUCAACUGGGGAGGGUCAUUCGAUACUGAUCGACUCGAAGGCAGGAGAGGGUAGUGGAAUUCCCGGUGUAGUGGUGAAAUGCGUAGAUAUCGGGAGGAACACCAGUGGCGAAGGCGACUACCUGGCCUGUUCUUGACGCUGAGGCGCGAAAGCUAGGGGAGCAAACGGG